AUACCUUUCUCGGCCUUUUGGCUAAGAUCAAGUGUAGUAUCUUCUUAUCAGUUUAAUAUUUGAUAUGUGGGCCAUGUGUCCACAACGAUAUUAAAUUUAUUUUUUGUGAGGGAGGGUCCAUCACAGCGGCUUGCCAUUGGGGUCCUCAGGCGUUGCACUGCAGUCCAGGCAGGCGCACCCCAA
rfam:Triticum aestivum genome assembly, contig: Triticum_aestivum_CS42_TGACv1_scaffold_542881_6DS